rnacentral:rRNA from 1 species
AUACGGAGGGAGCAAGCGUUAUUCGGAAUCACUGGGCGUAAAGGACGCGUAGGCGGGUUUGUAAGUCAGGUGUGAAAUCCUACAGCUCAACUGUAGAACUGCACUUGAAACUACAGACCUGGAGUAUGGAAGGGGCAGAUGGAAUUAGUGGUGUAGGGGUAAAAUCCGUAGAUAUCACUAGGAAUACCGAAAGCGAAGGCGAUCUGCUGGGACAUUACUGACGCUGAGGCGUGAAAGCGUGGGGAGCAAACAGGAUUAGAAACCCCAGUAGUCC